rnacentral:tRNA from 1 species
GUGGUCAUAGCCGAGUGGUUAAGGCGAUAGACUAGAAAUCUUUUGGGAUCUUCCCGCGGAGGUUCGAAUCCUGUCGACAACG